rnacentral:misc_RNA from 1 species
GAAGUGCGAUAAGCAGUGCGAAUUGCAGAACCGUGAGUCAUCGGAUUUUUGAACGCAACUGGCGCCGUGCGGCCUCGGCUGCCGGCACGCCUGGUCCAGUGUCUUGUUCUCUCAUCACCAAAAUCUUAAUGCGAGAGAUGCCCUUCUCUUGCCAAGCAUGAAAGCACUCUGCGCUCUGCGAGCGGCCUUCGGGUCGCACUCAAUGCAGCAGUCACAUUGCUAACAGUGUGAACUCAUUGAGAGUGGACGCAGUGCAGCAACAGCUGCCAGUGCUUAGUCACAUCAACUUUGGAAGCGCAUCUGGGCUCAGGUGGGACCACCCGCUGAACUUAA